UAACUGUUGCUUUUAAUUUUGCUGUAGGCACAAUCACAUGGAAGCAUUUCUUUUGGGCAAUGGGGUGGUUCAGGCGGAGACCCGUUUAGUUUCAGAAUAGGAAGUUGGAUAAAAGAGAUAAUUGUCCAUGACGGAACAAAUAUCAAGUCAAUCUCUUUUGAAGACGCGGAUGGACACGAGUACGGACCUUUUGGCGGCAACAAUCCCAACGAUAUCGGUGACGAAAAAAGAAUUCAGAUCGAUGGAGUCUCGGAGUAUUUGACAUCCAUAGCUGGGACAUAUGGAAACUAUAAUGGUCUAAUGGUGAUCAGAUCACUAUCAUUUAUAAAAAAUUUAAAGACACGUGGACCCUUUGGAACUGAUAUUGGAACCCCCUUCUCGCUCCCUAUUGGAGAUAGUGUAGUUAAUGGGUUCCAUGGAAGAGGAGGCUAUUACCUUGAUGCAAUUGGAAUCCAUGCGAAACCGAGGCAUGUAGAGGAGCCUAUUGCAAUAGGGUCAUGGGGUGGCGAGGGAGGGUCUUC